AGAGUUUGAUCCUGGCUCAGAACGAACGCUGGCGGCAUGGCUAAGACAUGCAAGUCGAACGAACCAUUUUGAAGAGUAAUCGGACAUUUGGUGAGUGGCGAAAGGGUGAGGAAUAAAUAGGUACGUACCAUUAGCUUCGGAAUAGCUCAUCGAAAGGUGAGGUAAUACCGGAUAAUACCGAAAGGUCAAAGAUUUAUCGGCUAUUGAGCGGCCUAUUUCCUAUCAGCUAGUUGGUGAGGUAAUGGCUCACCAAGGCGACGACGGGUAGCGGGACUGAGAGGUUGGCCCCGCCACAUCGGGACUGAGACACUGCCCGGACCUCCACGGAGGGCUGCAGUAACGAAUAUUGGGCAAUGGGCGAAAGCCUGACCCAGCAAUGCCGCGUGUAGGAUGAAGCCCCUCGGGGUGUAAACUACUUUCAGGGACUAGAAAGCUACGGCUGAUCAAUCCCAGAAGAAGUCACGGCUAACUUCGUGCCAGCAGCCGCGGUAAUACGAAGGUGGCAAGCGUUGUUCGGAAUCACUGGGCUUAAAGGGCGCGUAGGCGGAAAUGUAAGUGUUUUGUGAAAUCCCACGGCUUAACCGUGGAAUUGCUUGGCAAACUACAUUUCUUGAGGCAAGUAGGGGUGUGUGGAACUCUUGGUGGAGCGGUGGAAUGCGUAGAUAUCAAGAGGAACGCCGAAGGUGAAGACAGCACACUAGACUUGUCCUGACGCUGAGGCGCGAAAGCGUGGGGAGCAAACAGGAUUAGAUACCCUGGUAGUCCACGCCGUAAACGAUGUCUACUAGGUUGUGGGGGUUCUGACACCUUCACAGUCAAAGCAAAAGUGUUAGGUAGACCGCCUGGGGAGUACGGUCGCAAGGCUAAAACUCAAAGGAAUUGACGGGGGCUCACACAAGCGGUGGAGCAUGUGGAUUAAUUCGAAUCAACGCGCAGAACCUUACCUGGGUUUGACAUGCAUGGAUGCCAAUCUGGAAACAGAGGAAGCUGCCCUCGGGUGAAACUUGCACAGGUGCUGCAUGGCUGUCGUCAGCUCGUGUCGUGAGAUGUCGGGUUAAGUCCUUUAACGAGCGAAACCCUUACCGUUAGUUGCCAGCGCGUCAUGGCGGGGACUCUAGCGGGACUGCCGGUGUUAAACCGGAGGAAGGUGGGGAUGACGUCAAGUCCUCAUGGCCUUUAUGCCCAGGGCUUCACACGUGCUACAAUGGUAGGUACAAAGCGACGCGAUACCGCGAGGUGGAGCAAAUCGCAAAAAACCUGCCCCAGUUCAGAUUGUAGGCUGGCAACUCGCCUACAUGAAGUUGGAAUCGCUAGUAAUCGCAUAUCAGCGAUGAUGCGGUGAAUGUGUUCCUGAGCCUUGUACACACCGCCCGUCAAGUGAUGGAAGUUGGGAGUACCCGAAGUCGGAUUGUUAACCUUUUAGGAGACGUCUGCCGACGGUAAGCUCGAUGACUGGCACUAAGUCGUAACAAGGUA
rnacentral:rRNA from 1 species